AAGGGUAUAGCUCAGUGGUAGAGCACAAGGUCAGCAUGCACGAGGUCCUGGGGUCAAUUCCCAGUACAUUCA
rnacentral:tRNA from 1 species